rnacentral:rRNA from 1 species
CGGACGGGUGAGGAAUACAUCGGAAUCUACUCUGUCGUGGGGGAGUAACGUAGGGAAACUUACGCUAAUACCGCAUACGACCUACGGGUGAAAGCAGGGGAUCUUCGGACCUUGCGCGAUUGAAUGAGCCGAUGUCGGAUUAGCUAGUUGGUGAGGUAAUGGCUCACCAAGGCGACGAUCCGUAACUGGUCUGAGAGGAUGAUCAGUCACACUGGAACUGAGACACGGUCCAGACUCCUACGGGAGGCAGCAGAA